rnacentral:rRNA from 1 species
GACGAACGCUGGCGGCGUGCUUAACACAUGCAAGUCGAACGGAAAGGCCCUGCUUGCCGGGUACUCGAGUGGCGAACGGGUGAGUAACACGUGGGUGAUCUGCCCUGCACUUCGGGAUAAGCCUGGGAAACUGGGUCUAAUACCGGAUAGGAGCCAUUUUUAGUGUGAUGGUUGGAAAGUUUUUUCGGUGUAGGAUGAGCUCGCGGCCUAUCAGCUUGUUGGUGGGGUAAUGGCCUACCAAGGCGGCGACGGGUAGCCGGCCUGAGAGGGUGGACGGCCACAUUGGGACUGAGAUACGGCCCAGACUCCUACGGGAGGCAGCAGUGGGGAAUAUUGCACAAUGGGCGCAAGCCGGAUGCAGCGACGCCGCGGGGGGGAUGACGGCCUUCGGGUUGUAAACUCCUUUCGCUAGGGACGAAGCUUUUUGUGACGGUACCUAGAUAAGAAGCACCGGCUAACUACGUG